rnacentral:rRNA from 1 species
ACUCCUACGGGAGGCAGCAGUGGGAAUAUUGCACAAUGGGCGCAAGCCUGAUGCAGCCAUGCCGCGUGUGUGAAGAAGGCCUUCGGGUUGUAAAGCACUUUCAGUUGUGAGGAAGGUAGUGUAGUUAACACCUGCACUAUUUGACGUUACCUACAGAAGAAGCACCGGCUAACUCCGUGCCAGCAGCCGCGGUAAUACGGAGGGUGCGAGCGUUAAUCGGAAUUACUGGGCGUAAAGCGCAUGCAGGCGGCCUUGUUAAGUCAGAUGUGAAAGCCCGGGC